ensembl:lncRNA
AGACAGUGUAGUCACCUACAACCCACAGAAUAGUCACCUACAACCCACAGACACAGUGUAAUCACCUACAACCCACAGACACCACAGCCCAGAGUGCUUAACCCUAACAGUAAUUUAAUACCAAAAGCACAUUUUUUUUCACUUGGGAAAUACUGCACCAAAACAUCUUAGAUGUAAAAUUGUGCGACCUAAAAUCUCCUCGGCAAAACAUCAACUCAAGAAAUCUGUCAUUUUUUAAAAGUUUUAAUCUUAGAUUAAUUCAGACUAUUUUGAGGCAGUGUAUGUAUACUGGCUACGGCGUCUCAAGGUGGACAAACAAUACUAUUGCCGUCUUUUCUCAUUUUUCAAGCGAAGGUCUUUUAUGGUAUUAUGGCACACUAGGUUCGCCUAGCCGAGUCCGAAACAUGUGGAAAGCCUUCAGGACAAGACUCAUUACAAUAAACAGCAACCUGUGAAAAUAUAGCUCUUAUUCUUUGAUUAUUUGUUGUUCUUAUCUCUUUUUUUGGGGGGGGGGGGAUUUUCUUAAAAUCUUAAAACUACAUUAUUGGUUAAGGGGCUUGUAAAUACACCUGUUGUAUUCGGCGCAUGUGACAAAUAACAUUUUGAUUUGAUUUGGAAGGUGAUUGGUUCAAGAUGAUUUGUUUGUGGCCAUGUAGGGUUAUUACGCUAGCUGCUUGUGAUUAACCAGAUGACAUAAAACGAGAUAAGUAAAUUGUUUGUUGUCAAAGCUACAGCUGGGUGUGGAACUAGUCUGUUGUUGUUGAUUUUUCUAGUGGAUCCACUCCUUUAUACCAGUUGGUUCUAGACAGGUGUAACCUGAUUUCAGGUGAUUACCUGUUACGGUCUCCCUGUUUCAGGUACAGUAUCCUGACGUGGCGGUGACUGGAUGAAAUGCUAUUUUGUCGCUGCUUUAGGUUUUAGCAGUGUAAUUACAUAGAUAUGGAGGUUGCCUGUAUGUUAUGACAGCAGCGUAUUCUGCCUCACGGCAAAAAGUAGACACUAUCCUGUUGGUACUUGUCUGUCAGUGUAUAUAGUAUGACCACACACAGAAAAGACGACAGUAUCUAAAAAUAAAAAUAAAACAAGUUUGUAAAAGAAGAGUAGUAGUCACGAUCUUAAUUGUAUAUAUUUUGGAAGAAAGGUAUCUUAUUAAAGUUCUAGCCAUGCUGGGAUGUAGGAUUCUAUUGCUUCUAGAACUAUUUUGAACUAUUUAACUCCCCACUAAAAAUAUCCACUGUGUAGAUUCUUAUGAACCUUGCAAGUCCCAGGAUGUGGAAGUGGUACUGGGUGUGGCUCAGGAAUGCUAACAUUACAGAACCUGACUGACAGCUAUCAGGACACUUUGCGGUUUUCCAAAAACCCUUUUCUAUCCAACCCCUGUUUUCCUCCUACAUGUGACCACAACAUCUUAAGAGUAGAUGUAUUAUUUUUUUAAAUUUAUUAAACAGACAAACUAUAAUCUUCAGAAUACUUGGUGAUCACCUGAUGUGGAUGAUGGGUGUAAAUGUGGAAUUGGUGCUCGCUGUGGCUCAAAGCUGUCAACAGAACACAAACUGACUGACAGGUUUCAGGGGGCUUGAUAGCUUAGAAUGAAUGAGUUUCAAAGCAUUUACCUGUAUUAAAUCAUUAUCUGUAAAUAUAGGUUUGGGACAUGUUCACACUGCCAAUAUAUCUGAAGGACAGUAUAAACAGUAUAUCUGAAGGACAGUAUAACAAUAUAUCUGAAGGACAGUAUAACAAUAUAUCUGAAGGACAGUAUAACAAUAUAUCUGAAGGACAGUAUAAACAAUAUAUCUGAAGGACAGUAUAAACAUAUAUCUGAAGGACAGUAUAAACAAUAUAUCUGAAGGACAGUAUAAACAAUAUAUCUGAAGGACAGUAUAAACAAUAUCCAUAAUGCUGAGAAUUUGCAUGUCCUUGUGAUUAAUUUACCCCCUCAUUCUUCUCGGUGAUCACCUGAUGUUUGUCAUCCCAGACAAAGCAAGUUAAGACACAUCAGUUGACUCGGUUCAAGCCAACAGUGUUGUCAUCGUGUUCUGUGAAAGCAUGCAGUUUCCCAUCAGCGCUCAGAGUCGUGCCAAGGUUUUUUAUUCCACCUUUAUUUAACCAGGUAAGCUAGUUGGGGAACAAGGUGCCAAUGUAAAUUAAAUGCCUCACUGCAGAUCAAUAGGCCUUAUGGGAUUAAGUACAUUUACUUUUCCAAAUCCCAAUUGGAACUUGGUACAAUUGGGAUAUUGUUCCCAAUUGGAACCUAUUUGAGAGCUGUGGUAUCGACAUCAGAUAUUUUCCCAUAGACCAGCCACCCAGUGAGUUUUGUUAUGUAUCCGUACCAAAUAUAUAUUCUGUUGUCAAGACAAAGAUCCUGAGAGUAGAGGCAGUUUUGGAAACUCCUUGGUGUAUCUCUCUCAACUCAAACAUCUUACUCCUUCAAUAGCAGUAUCAGUGCUAUCAGUGUAAUCAGUAUCGGUGUAAUCAGUAUCGGUGUAAUCAGUAUUGGUGUAAUCAGUAUCGGUGUAAUCAGUAUCGGUGUAAUCAGUAUCAGUGUAAUCAGUAUCGGUGUAAUCAGUAUCGGUGUAAUCAGUAUCGGUGUAAACAGUAUCGGUGUAAUCGGUAUUAGUGUAAUCGGUAUCAGUAUCAAUGUAAUCGGUAUCGGUGUAAUCAGCAGCGGUGUAAUCAGUAUCGGUAUCAAUGUAAUCAGUAUCGGUGUAAUCAGUAUCUGUGUAAUCAGUAUCAGUAUCAAUGCAAUCAGUAUCGGUGUAAUCAGUAUCGGUAUCAAUGUAAUCAGUAUCGGUGUAAUCAGUAUCGGUGUAUCGGUUAUCGGUGUAAUCAGUAUCGGUGUAAUCAGUAUCAGUAUCAAUGUAAUCAAUAUACGUGUAAUCAGUAUC